rnacentral:rRNA from 1 species
AGUGAACGCUGGCGGUAGGCCUAACACAUGCAAGUCGAACGGCAGCACAGUAAGAGCUUGCUCUUACGGGUGGCGAGUGGCGGACGGGUGAGGAAUACAUCGGAAUCUACUUUUUCGUGGGGGAUAACGUAGGGAAACUUACGCUAAUACCGCAUACGACCUACGGGUGAAAGCAGGGGAUCUUCGGACCUUGCGCGAUUGAAUGAGCCGAUGUAGGAUUAGCUAGUUGGCGGGGUAAAGGCCCACCAAGGCGACGAUCCGUAGCUGGUCUGAGAGGAUGAUCAGCCACACUGGAACUGCGACACGGUCCAGACUCCUACGGGAGGCAGCAGUGGGGAAUAUUGGACAAUGGGCGCAAGCCUGAUCCAGCCAUACCGCGUGGGUGAAGAAGGCCUUCGGGUUGUAAAGCCCUUUUGUUGGGAAAGAAAAGCAGCAGGUUAAUACCCCGCUGUUCUGACGUUACCCAAAGAAUAAGCACCGGCUAACUUCGUG